rnacentral:rRNA from 1 species
UACGUAGGGGGCCAGCGUUGUUCGGAAUUACUGGGUGUAAAGGGUUCGUAGGCGGUGCGGCAAGUUGGGAGUGAAAUCUCUGGGCUUAACCCAGAGACGGCUUCCAAAACUGCUGUGCUUGAGUGUGGGAGAGGCUCGUGGAAUUGCAGGUGUAGCGGUGAAAUGCGUAGAUAUCUGCAGGAACACCCGUGGCGAAAGCGGCGCGCUGGACCACUACUGACGCUGAGGAACGAAAGCUAGGGGAGCAAACAGG